ACCAGACUCCUACGGGAGGCAGCAGUGGGGAAUAUUGGACAAUGGGGGGAACCCUGAUCCAGCGACGCCGCGUGAGUGAAGAAGUAUUUCGGUAUGUAAAGCUCUAUCAGCAGGGAAGAAAGAAAUGACGGUACCUGACUAAGAAGCCCCGGCUAACUACGUGCCAGCAGCCGCGGUAAUACGUAGGGGGCAAGCGUUAUUCGGAUUUACUGGGUGUAAAGGGGGCGCAGACGGCAGCGCAAGCCAGGAGUGAAAGCCCGGGGCCCAACCCCGGGACUGCUCUUGGAACUGCGCGGCUGGAGUGCAGGAGGGGCAGGCGGAAUUCCUGGUGUAGCGGUGAAAUGCGUAGAUAUCAGGAGGAACACCGGUGGCGAAGGCGGCCUGCUGGACUGCGACUGACGUUGAGGCCCGAAAGCGUGGGGAGCAAACAGGAUUAGAUACCCCAGUA
rnacentral:rRNA from 1 species